GCCCAGAGAAUUCUCCUGGGUUCUGAGGAGAAUAGACUAACUUUGAGCCUUCCCAUGUCCAGAACCCCAGAGCCUAACCUCGGGGGGUUACUUUAGGAGGUCAAAAGGUUGAGAUUCAAGGUGAAAUUGUUCCGCAUGGUAAUUGUGAAGUGUGACGUCAGUUGUGACACGCGAGACGAUUUCAGUUGUCUGGUAAUUGAUUCUUUGGUGAGGCUGGAACCCAGGAAGCUGUUGCUGCCUACCUAAAAUCAGCAUAGACGACACUUACUGGCCCUUUGCAGCAAGAAGUAUCUAAUAGAUCUAUAUUAACUGGAGGAAAUUGCAGCUGGCUUUUGUUGUUGGUGGUGGUUGUUUGUUUUGUGGGCGGUCCUCUUAGCAGAAAUGCCCGGAACCUGGUUUGAUACUGAUGGGAAUGUUCUAGCGCCAGGUUGAAAGGACGGGGAAUGGAGAGGCUGUGGCUACGAAAUCAGCAGGAAGAGUGUGGCCCAGAAAGCUAUGUUGCCAAGCAAUGCUUCCUCUAGAGAUGGAAGGACCCAUUAUGGACCUGUGGUGAUUGAUUGGGGGUUGCAAACCAGUUAGGAUAACCAAGAAAUGGGUCGGGGAGCAGCUCCAUUGGCCGGUGGCUACAGGAGUGUUCGCAGAGCUGGGAGAGUUCCCAGAGAAUGGCUUCCCAAAAACAACUCCUCCUUCCACCUUCUAGUUGUUCGGGACUCCCUCGCCUCAGAACAGGUGUUUGGGGGUGGAGCAUGCUGACUGCUAACAACCUGCUGAGCCUUUUUGGUGUACCAACACCACCUGGAGUCAUCGUGUUUGCAUCCUAUACAUACCCUGCAGCAGCUCUGUCACAAGACAUGCUUAUCAAACUCACCCAUGAAAAGAGAUUCAGAAGAAUUUCAGGAUCCAUUCUUGAGAUCAUAUCACUGUUGUGUAACAGUUUCUUCAAGAUUGAAACAUCCUAUCUGACAGGGAAGUUCCUUAAACAGGAAGGUGAACAACUCAAAAUAGCUUCAGGAAGUCCCUGAAGCUGACCUGAUUCACUAGGCUCCACUCCCAGAGAGUAAGCAAUAAGAGUGGUGCAUCUGAGCUGCAGAGAAGACUGAGACCAAACCAGCUGCCUGGGGGAAGCAGAAACCAGUAAAGCUGCCUGGAAGAGAGACCAGAGUCACUUGGAAAGAAGCUCUCCAACCUGUUGAGCUGCCUGAAGGCUGUGCAGUGUGCUAUAGGUUCCCAGCUUUGUGAGCUGUCAUUUGUUUUAGGGUGGGCUUUGGUUAUGCAGUUGUCUGUGAGUCAUUUCUGCUUGUGUAAGUAACCCCUCACCCAUAUUCCGGUCAGUAACUCUUCACCCAUACUUCUAUAAGGAAUCCCAAUAAAACUCAUUGGUUGACCAAGUUGGACUUUGUUGGUAUUUAUACUUUGGUCUGUCAUGGGAUCCCUAUCUGGGGUGAGUAGAUGUGUGUGGUGUUUCCUCAGGAAAAGUUUUGUCACAUAACAAUCAUCCCAACUGGCAGGAACAGGACUUAACAGUCAAGUCCUCCAAACACAGAACAAGCCAGCCUUCCUAUGCUCACAUCCUGGCUCUCUCCUUGCUAUCUGUUUCACUUUGUAUUUAGUUUCUUUGUCUGUAAAAUGGGCUAAUAAUAAAAGCUGC
rnacentral:lncRNA from 1 species